GAUCUGGGUUAGAAUUGCUGAAAUAUAUUUAUCGGACCAAGCCGUGGAUGCAUCUAGGGUAUAAUGGAGAGUGAUCGUAAGGUAUACCCUGGAGAUUAUCGA